rnacentral:rRNA from 1 species
CCUACGGGAGGCAGCAGUAAGGAAUAUUGGUCAAUGGGCGCAAGCCUGAACCAGCCAUGCCGCGUGCAGGAAGACGGCCCUACGGGUUGUAAACUGCUUUUGUACCGGAAUAAACCCUUUUACGUGUAGAAGGUUGAAUGUACGGUAAGAAUAAGGAUCGGCUAACUCCGUGCCAGCAGCCGCGGUAAUACGGAGGAUCCGAGCGUUAUCCGGAUUUAUUGGGUUUAAAGGGUGCGUAGGCGGCCUAUUAAGUCAGGGGUGAAAGACGGUAGCUCAACUAUCGCAGUGCCUUUGAUACUGAUGGGCUUGAAUGUACUUGAGGUAGGCGGAAUGUGACAAGUAGCGGUGAAAUGCAUAGAUAUGUCACAGAACACCAAUUGCGAAGGCAGCUUACUAAAGUAUGAUUGACGCUGAGGCACGAAAGCGUGGGGAUCAAACAGGAUUAGAUACCCUGGUAGUCCACGCCCUAAACGAUGAAUACUCGAUGUUGGCGAUAUACGGCCAGCGUCUAAGCGAAAGCGUUAAGUAUUCCACCUGGGGAGUACGCCGCAAGGGUGAAACUUAAGGAAUUGAGGCUGNGAGNGCGAGGCGACGACGAGGAGAGG